rnacentral:rRNA from 1 species
GACAGAGGUGCCGAGCGUUAGGCGGAAUCACUGGGCUUAAAGCGUGUGUAGGCGGACCGUUAAGUACCUUGUGAAAUCCUGCGGCUCAACCGCAGAACGGCUGGGUAUACUGGCGGUCUUGGGCCACCUAGGGGCAGAUGGAACAAGUGGUGGAGCGGUGAAAUGCGUAGAUAUCACUUGGAACGCCAAAGGUGAAAACAGUCUGCUGGGGGUGUGCCGACGCUGAGACACGAAAGCCAGGGGAGCGAACGGG